AAUGGGAUGGCUAGGUCAUAUGGUUCCAUUCCUAGUUUUCUGAGGAAUUUCCAUAUUGCUUUCCAGAGUGGUAGUACUUAUUUGUAGUCCUACCAACAAU
rnacentral:pre_miRNA from 1 species